rnacentral:rRNA from 1 species
GCCUACGGCCACACCACGUUGAACACACCGGUUCUCGUCCGAUCACCGAAGUUAAGCAACAGCGGGCUCGGCUAGUACUUGGAUGGGUGACCGCCUGGGAACUCCGGGUGCUGUAGGCG